UACAGAGGUCCCAAGCGUUGUUCGGAUUCAUUGGGCGUAAAGGGUGCGUAGGUGGCACCGUAAGUCGGGUGUGAAAUUUCGGAGCUUAACUCCGAAACUGCAUUCGAUACUGCGGUGCUUGAGGACUGGAGAGGAGACUGGAAUUUAUGGUGUAGCAGUGAAAUGCGUAGAGAUCAUAAGGAAGACCAGUGGCGAAGGCGGGUCUCUGGACAGUUCCUGACACUGAGGCACGAAGGCCAGGGGAGCAAACGGG
rnacentral:rRNA from 1 species